rnacentral:rRNA from 1 species
UGAGUAACCUGCCCCUGACUCUGGAAUAAGCGCUGGAAACGGCGUCUAAUACCGGAUAUGACACUAAACCGCAUGGUUAUGGUGUGGAAAGUUUUUCGGUCUGGGAUGGACUCGCGGCCUAUCAGCUUGUUGGUGUGGGUAAUGGCCCACCAAGGCGACGACGGGUAGCCGGCCUGAGAGGGUGACCGGCCACACUGGGACUGAGACACGGCCCAGACUCCUUCGGGAGGCAG